rnacentral:tRNA from 1 species
GCGGAUUUAGCUUAAUGGUACAGCGUCAGUCUUCCAGACUGGAGAUGGAGGUUCGAAUCCUUCAAUCCGCUCA